AAGGCCUCAAAGACAUUCCAGGUGGAGAUUAUAGAAGGCUCCACAUCGACCUUCAUCAUAGGCUUCAAUCUCUGCAAAGUGUAGAUGGCUCGACUCUUUCUGAAGUUGAUGUGGGUCACCUAAAUCCCAAGUAGAGUGAAGAUGAAGCAAAUGAGGAUGGUGUGAAUGUUGGUGCCACUUCUCCGGUGACACCUAAGGUGGAUGAGGCUAAGGAAGAUGGUGUUAAUGUAUGCCCUAGAUGC
rnacentral:lncRNA from 1 species